rnacentral:rRNA from 1 species
UACGUAGGGGGCAAGCGUUGUCCGGAAUCAUUGGGCGUAAAGAGCGUGUAGGCGGCCCGAUAAGUCCGCCGUGAAAGUCCAGGGCUCAACCCUGGAAUGCCGGUGGAAACUGUCGGGCUGGAGUCCGGAAGAGGCGAGUGGAAUUCCUGGUGUAGCGGUGAAAUGCGCAGAUAUCAGGAGGAACACCAAUGGCGAAGGCAGCUCGCUGGGACGGUACUGACGCUGAGGCGCGAAAGCUAGGGGAGCAAACGGG